rnacentral:rRNA from 1 species
GUCCACGCCCUAAACUAUGUCAACUGGUUGUCGGGGAAGCAAUUCCUUGGUAACGAAGCUAACGCGUGAAGUUUACCGCCUGGGGAGUACGGCCGCAAGGUUAAAACUCAAAGGAAUUGACGGGGACCCGCACAAGCGGUGGAUUAUGUGGAUUAAUUCGAUGCAACGCGAAAAACCUUACCUACCCUUGACAUGUACGGAACCUUGCAGAGAUGUGAGGGUGCUCGAAAGAGAACCGUAACACAGGUGCUGCAUGGCUGUCGU